rnacentral:rRNA from 12 species
CAAAUCCAGAAGCGCGCAGCUAGGAAAGUCCCCGCGUUUAAUAAGUCUGUUGAUGUGGUAAUCUGCCGUCGCGACGAAGAAUACAGUGCGGCGAUUGCGGCUGAGAUUGAGGAAUCUCGAGAGCAGGAGCAGAAUGGCCCGGCCCAUGCAACCGUGGUCUCAAAAAUCCUAAACGCCUUCCGAAGAAAGCAGGGUGGGCGAGGAAGGUUUUUCAAGGUGAAGAGAUACGGCCUGAAGGGGGGUGCGUUCUAUAGUAGAGAAAAUUUGGUCCCCAUGGAUGUUGAGGCGGUCAAGGCCAAAAUUACCAGCGAUCUACACGCAGCAUACGAGCGGGCAAGCAGCGGUAAAAAACGCGAUGCGAG